UCACAAUUCUUCACGGAGAAAUAAAAACGAUGCCUGGGUUACAAAAUACUGUGUAUCUAAGAAAAGACAAAUGAAACAGAAUGUGUGUGUGUGUAUGAGCAUGCGUGCAUGGUGUGUGUGUGUGCGCGCAUAUGAGCAUGUGUGCAUGGUGUGAGUAUGUGUUAUGUGUGUGUGUGUGUGUGGUGUGUGCAUGUGUGAGUAUGUGUGUGUGUGUGUGUGUGUGUGUUGUGUGCGUGUGUGUGUGUGUAAAAGACCAGGGAACAUACAUACGGCUGAACCAGGCGAGGGCCUCAUUCUACACUGUAAUUCCAUACAGAAGGCGCUACGCCUUUAAUCAC